UACAUGGGGUGCAAACGUUGCUCGGAAUUAUUGGGCGUAAAGCGCGCGUAGGCGGUUACUUAAGUCGGAUGUGAAAGCCCUCGGCUUAACUGAGGAAGUGCACCCGAAACUGAGUAGCUAGAGUACGAAAGAGGGUCGCGGAAUUCCCGGUGUAGAGGUGAAAUUCGUAGAUAUUCGCAAGAACACCAGUGGCGAAGGCGGCUAUCUGGACGGUUUCUGACACUAAGACUCGAAAGCGUGGGGAGCAAACAGG
rnacentral:rRNA from 1 species